UGGGGAAUCUUGCACAAUGGGCGAAAGCCUGAUGCAGCGACGCCGCGUGGGGGAUGAAGCAUUUCGGUGUGUAAACCCCUUUCGAUCCGGACGAAACCCCGCAAGGGAUUGACGGUACGGAUAUAAGAAGCCCCGGCUAACUACGUGCCAGCAGCCGCGGUAAUACGUAGGGGGCCAGCGUUGUUCGGAAUUACUGGGUGUAAAGGGUUCGUAGGCGGUGCGGCAAGUUGGGAGUGAAAUCUCUGGGCUUAACCCAGAGGCUGCUCUCAAAACUGCUGUGCUUGAGUGUGGGAGAGGCGCGUGGAAUUGCAGGUGUAGCGGUGAAAUGCGUAGAUAUCUGCAGGAACACCCGUGGCGAAAGCGGCGCGCUGGACCACUACUGACGCUGAGGAACGAAAGCUAGGGGAGCAAACAGGAUUAGAUACCCCGGUAGUCC
rnacentral:rRNA from 1 species